GGGGAUGUUAUUGGCUUCGACGCUGGUGAUGAAACUCAUAGAUGCAUGCCGAGAGCGCAUUUUCUCUCGUAAAUCAAAUUUGCAUAUUUUAGUCGCAAACGACGAAACUUACGCUCUAGCUGCCUAAGGGCAGUUUGUCCGCUUCCUAGAAUACUUGUGGUUUAGGAACCCGACCGUAGCGCACGCACACAAGUCCGUAUAGAGUCAAGCCUCGGGGCUUUAUACCAAACUUAGAGGAUCGCAACUUGUACCCUGUUCGUCGGGUCACUUGGUGUUAAAACAAUAGACGAUAUCUAAGCAUGUAGUAU
rnacentral:tmRNA from 1 species